UGGCGGCGUGCCUAAUACAUGCAAGUCGAACGGUCUUUCUAUGGAAGCUUGCUUCCACUGAGAAGAUAGUGGCGAACGGGUGAGUAACACGUGGGUAACCUGGCCCAUAAGAGGGGGAGUAACAUCCGGAAACGGGUGCUAAUACCGCAUACGUUUUCUUGAUCGCAUGAUCGGGAAAGGAAAGACGGCCUUUGUGCUGUCGCUUAUGGAUGGACCCGCGGCGUAGUUAGUUAGUUGGUGAGGUAACGGCUCACCAAGACGAUGAUACGUAGCCGACCUGAGAGGGUGAUCGGCCACAUUGGGACUGAGACACGGCCCAAACUCCUACGGGAGGCAGCAGUAGGGAAUCUUCCGCAAUGGACGAAAGUCUGACGGAGCAACGCCGCGUGAGUGAAAGAAGGUUUUCGGAUCGUAAAACUCUGUUGUCAGAGAAGAACAAGUUGGAGAGUAACUGCUCCAGCCUUGACGGUAUCUGACCAGAAAGCCACGGCUAACUACGUGCCAGCCGCCGC
rnacentral:rRNA from 1 species